rnacentral:rRNA from 1 species
GACGGACGCUGGCGGCGUGCUUAACACAUGCAAGUCGAGCGGUAAGGCCCUUCGGGGUACACGAGCGGCGAACGGGUGAGUAACACGUGAGCAAUCUGCCCUUCACUCUGGGAUAACCCCCGGAAACGGGAGCUAAUACCGGAUACGACCACUUCGGACAUCCGAUGGUGGUGGAAAGUUCCGGCGGUGAAGGAUGAGCUCGCGGCCUAUCAGCUUGUAGGUGGGGUAACGGCCCACCAAGGCUUCGACGGGUAGCCGGCCUGGGAGGGUGACCGGCCACACUGGGACGGAGACACGGCCCAGACUCCUACGGGAGGCAGCAGUGGGGAAUAUUGGACAAUGGGCGAAAGCCUGAUCCAGCAACGCCGCGUGAGGGAUGACGGCCUUCGGGUUGUAAACCUCUUUCAGCACAGACGAAGCGCAAGUGACGGUAUGUGCAGAAGAAGGACCGGCCAACUACGUGCCAGCCGCCGCAGUAA